AUACGUAGGGAGCGAGCGUUGUCCGGAAUUACUGGGUGUAAAGGGAGCGUAGGCGGGAGUGCAAGUCAGAUGUGAAAUACCGGGGCUCAACCCCGGGGCUGCAUUUGAAACUGUCGUUCUUGAGGGCGGUAGAGGUAAGCGGAAUUCCUAGUGUAGGGGUGAAAUGCGUAGAUAUUCGGAGGAACAUCGGUGGCGAAGGCGGCUUACUGGGCCUUUACUGACGCUGAGGCACGAAAGCGUGGGGAGCAAACAGGAUUAGAUACCCUGGUAGUCCACGCUGUAAACGAUGAUGACUAGGUGUGGGGGGACUGAACCCUUCCGUGCCGCAGUUAACACAAUAAGUCAUCCACCUGGGGAGUACGGCCGCAAGGUUGAAACUCAAAUGAAUUGGCGGGG
rnacentral:rRNA from 1 species